rnacentral:lncRNA from 1 species
AUGUAUCAUUGACAAAAAAAAGCAUUUGAUACAUGAUUUUGGUCAGAUUUUCAACCAAAGACAUCUUUCUUAUGUAUCUACAAUAUAAUAUUUAGUAAGAUAAAUAACUUUUGUACAUUUGGUGGAGGAUCGCGUGAUGUAUCUUUUUAUUUUUUUCAAUCAGAUACAUCAUUUUCAUGUAUCUCCAAACUCUCUUAACAAAUACAAUAUUUUUAUGUAUCUUCAUUAACAUUAUCAUCUUCAACCUCCAUUGACGAAUCUCCGACCCCUCUCCGUACUCCACCCCUAAAUCCCCCUUUCUCUGUCUCAGGACUCUAUCGCUUGUAAAUUCUGACCGACAAACCACCAAAUAGAUACCAACUCAGUCUCCUACUUCACCACAAGUCUAUAACCUUACCCCACUCUGUCCAACGUCAUAUCACCGGUAAAAUUCCAUCGAGAAACACUCUUUCCUAUCAGAAAAUAAUCACAAUUCAAACUAUCGUCUAUGACAAACCUACUCGCAACCUCCAUUAAAGCACAAUUUUUAAGUUUGCAUCAAUAGCGACUAUGAC